rnacentral:rRNA from 1 species
GACCGCGAGGUGGAGCAAAUCUCAAAAAGACCGUCCCAGUUCGGAUCGCAGGCUGCAACCCGCCUGCGUGAAGUUGGAAUCGCUAAUAAUCGCGGAUCAGCAUGCCGCGGUGAAUACGUUCCCGGGCCUUGUACACACCGCCCGUCACACCAUGAGAGUCGGGAACACCCGAAGUCCGUAGCCUAACCGCAAGGGGGGCGCGGCCGAAGGUGGGUUCGAUAAUUGGGGUGAAGUCGUAACAAGGUAUC